GACGAACCGUGCAAACGUUGUUCGGAAUCACUGGGCUUAAAGGGCGCGUAGGCGGGCUGACAAGUCUGGGGUGAAAUGCCGCGGCUCAACCGUGGAACUGCCUUAGAUACUGUCGGCCUCGAGGGAGGUAGGGGCAUGCGGAACUGUAGGUGGAGCGGUGAAAUGCGUUGAUAUCUACAGGAACUCCGGUGGCGAAAGCGGCGUGCUGGACCUCUUCUGACGCUGAGGCGCGAAAGCUAGGGGAGCAAACGGG
rnacentral:rRNA from 1 species